GAUCCUGGCUCGGGAUGAACGCUAGCUACAGGCUUAACACAUGCAAGUCGAGGGGCAGCAUGUCGGUUGCUUGCAACCGACGAUGGCGACCGGCGCACGGGUGAGUAACGCGUAUCCAACCUACCCUUGUCCAUCGGAUAACCCGUCGAAAGGCGGCCUAACACGAUAUGCGGUUCUCAGCAGGCAUCUAACGAGAACGAAAUGUGAAGGAGAAGGAUGGGGAUGCGUCUGAUUAG
rnacentral:rRNA from 1 species